UACGAACCGUACAAACGUUAUUCGGAAUCACUGGGCUUAAAGGGUGCGUAGGCGGCCAUGUAAGUGAGGUGUGAAAUCCCUCGGCUCAACCGAGGAACUGCGCUUCAUACUGCAUGGCUUGAGGGAGACAGGGGUAAGCGGAACUGAUGGUGGAGCGGUGAAAUGACGUUGAUAUCAUCAGGAACACCGGUGGCGAAAGCGGCUUACUGGGUCUCUUCUGACGCUGAGGUACGAAAGCUAGGGUAGCGAACGGGAUAGAACCUUGUAGUCC
rnacentral:rRNA from 1 species